rnacentral:rRNA from 1 species
GGAUUAGAUACCCUGGUAGUCCAAGCCGUAAACGAUUAGCACUAGGUAGGGGGAACUCUGACGUUCUCCCUGCUGUAGCUAAUGUGUUAAGUGCUCCGCCUGGGGAGUAUGGUCGCAAGGCUAAAACUCAAAGGAAUUGACGGGGGCUCACACAAGCGGUGGAGCAUGUGGUUUAAUUCGAAACAACGCGCAGAACCUUACCUGGGUUUGACAUGCUAGGAUUAGCACUGUGAAAGCAGUGUGACGCGGGUAACCGUGGAACUAGCACAGGUGCUGCAUGGCUGUCGUCAGCUCGUGUCG